CCUACGGGUGGCAGCAGUGAGGAAUAUUGGUCAAUGGACGAGAGUCUGAACAAGCCAAGUAGCGUGAAGGAUGACUGCCCUAUGGGUUGUAAACUUCUUUUAUAUGGGAAUAAAAUGUUCCUAGUGUGGGAUUUUGUCUGUACCAUAUGAAUAAGGAUCGGCUAACUCAGUGCCAGCAGCCGCGGUAAUACGGAGGAUCCGAGAGUUAUCCGGAUUUAUUGGGUUUAAAGGGAGCGUAGGUGGAUUGUUAAGUCAGUUGUGAAAGUUUGCGGCUCAACCGUAAAGUUGCAGUUGAAACUGGCAGUCUUGAGUACAGUAGAGGAGAGCGGAAUUCGAUGUGUAGCGAUGAAAUGCUUAGAUAUCACGAAGAACUCCGAUUGCGAAGGCAGCUCACUGGACUGCAACUGACACUGAGGCUCGAAAGUGUGGGUAUCAAACAGGAUUAGAUACCCUGGUAGUC
rnacentral:rRNA from 1 species